GACGAACGCUGGCGGCGUGCUUAACACAUGCAAGUCGAACGGAAAGGCCUGUCCUUCCUUGUGUUGGACGGGUACUCGAGUGGCGAACGGGUGAGUAACACGUGAGUGAUCUGCCCCCAACUUGGGUAUAAGCCUGGGAAACUGGGUCUAAUUCCCGAUAGGACUGCAGGGUGGUGCCUGUGGUGGAAAACGAUUUUCUAGUGGUUGGGGAUGAGCUCGCGGCCUAUCAGCUUGUUGGUGGGGUAAUGGCCUACCAAGGCGGCGACGGGUAGCCGGCCUGAGAGGGUGGACGGCGACAUUGGGACUGAGAUACGGCCCAGACUCCUACGGGAGGCAGCAGUGGGGAAUAUUGCACAAUGGGCGGAAGCCUGAUGCAGCGACGCCGCGUGGGGGAUGACGGCCUUCGGGUUGUAAACUCCUUUCGACCGCGAGGAAGCCGCCUGGUUGGAAGGGUGGUGACGGUAGUGGUAGAAGAAGCACCGGCUAACUACGUG
rnacentral:rRNA from 1 species